rnacentral:rRNA from 1 species
GAUGAACGCUGGCGGCGUGCCUAAUACAUGCAAGUCGAGCGAACAGACGAGGAGCUUGCUCCUCUGACGUUAGCGGCGGACGGGUGAGUAACACGUGGAUAACCUACCUAUAAGACUGGGAUAACUUCGGGAAACCGGAGCUAAUACCGGAUAAUAUAUUGAACCGCAUGGUUCAAUAGUGAAAGACGGUUUUGCUGUCACUUAUAGAUGGAUCCGCGCCGCAUUAGCUAGUUGGUAAGGUAACAGCUUACCAAGGCAACGAUGCGUAGCCGACCUGAGAGGGUGAUCGGACACACUGGAACUGAGACACGGUCCAGACUCCUACGGGAGGCAGCAGUAGGGAAUCUUCCGCAAUGGGCGAAAGCCUGACGGAGCAACGCCGCGUGAGUGAUGAAGGUCUUCGGAUCGUAAAACUCUGUUAUUAGGGAAGAACAAAUGUGUAAGUAACUAUGCACGUCUUGACGGUACCUAAUCAGAAAGCCACGGCUAACUACGUG